rnacentral:rRNA from 1 species
ACGGCUCAGUAACACGUAGCUAAUCUACCCUUAGGUCAGGGAUAACCACGGGAAACUGUGGCUAACACUUGAUAGAGGUUAAAUGUUGGAAUACAUCUACCUCGAAAUUCGAGCCUAAGGAUGAGGCUGCGGCUGAUUAGCUUGUUGGCGGGGUAACUGCCUACCAAGGCGAUGAUCAGUACGGGCUCUUAGCGGAGUUGCCCGGAGAUGGAAUCUGAGACACUAUUCCAAGCUCUACGGAGUGCUGCAGUAGCGGAUCAUUUACAAUGCACGAAAGUGUGAUAAUGCGAACCAAAGUGCUUUUCGUUUAGAAAAGCUUUUCUUUAGUGUAAAAAACUAGAGGAAUAAGGACUGGGAAAGACUGGUGCCAGCCGCCGCGGUAAUACCAGCAGUUCAAGUCGCAUCCCUUAUUAUUGGGUCUAAAACAUCCGUAGCUUGCCAUAUAAGUCUCUUGUGAAAUCCCACGUCUCAAGCGUGGGGCUUGCGGGAGAUACUGUAUGGCUAGAGAUCGGUAGACGUAAGGAGUACGCCGGAGGUAACGGUUAAAUGUGUUAAUCUUCGGUGGACUAACAAUGAGCGAAGGCACCUUACGAGGACGAAUCUGACAGUCAGGGAUGAAGGCCAGGGGCGCAAAACGGAUUAGAUACCCGUGUAGUCCUGGCAGUAAACACUGCUCACUAAACAUCGGGCCCUCUUCGGGAGGAUUCGGUGCUGAAGCGAAAGCGAAGAGUGAGCUACCUGGGAAGUAUAGUCGCAAGAUCGAAACUUAAAGGAAUUGGCGGGGGAGCAC